GCCUCUACAUGUAAGCUAUCGCCAAAGGAUGGGCCUGCGUCUGAUUAGCUAGUUGGUGGGGUAACGGCCUACCAAGGCGACGAUGCGUAGCCGACCUGANAGGGUGAUCGGCCACACUGGGACUGAGACACGGCCCAGACUCCUACGGGAGACAGCAGUUAGGAAUAUUCGUCAAUGGGGGAAACCCUGAACGAGCAAUGCCGCGUGAAGGAUGACGGUCCUAUGGAUUGUAAACUUCUGUUGUUAGGGAAGAACGACCUAUGUAGGAAAUGACAUAGGAGUGACGGUACCUUUCAAGAAAGCUCCGGCUAACUACGUG
rnacentral:rRNA from 1 species